AUUGAACGCUGGCGGUAUGCUUAAGACAUGCAGGUCGUGCGGUAGAAGGCUUCGGCCUUUGAGAGCGGCGGACGGGUGAGUAACACGUGGGAAUCUGCCUAUUAGUGGGGGACAGCCCAGCGAAAGCUGGAUUAAUACCGCAUACGCCCUACGGGGAAAGGACAGCAAUGCGCUAAUAGAUGAGCCCGCCGUAAGAUUAGCUAGUUGGUAAGGUAAAGGCUUACCAAGGCGACGAUCUUUAGCUGGUCUGAGAGGAUGGCCAGCCACAUCGGGACUGAGACACGGCCCGGACUCCUACGGGAGGCAGCAGUCGGGAAUAUUGGACAAUGGGCGCAAGCCUGAUCCAGCAAUACCGCGUGUGUGAAGAAGGCCUGCGGGUUGUAAAGCACUUUCAGUUGGGAAGAUAAUGACGUUACCAACAGAAGAAGCACCGGCUAACUCCGUGCCAGCAGCCGCGGUAAAGU
rnacentral:rRNA from 1 species